UGUGCGCGUAAUAAGCACAUAGCGAACUAUUCUUUCGCCUUUUACGAAAGAAUACAGUGUGUGUUGAAUAUAUCCAACGUUAAAGACUCCCUAUAUUGUAAGGCUGAAAAAUAAUGUUGGACU